rnacentral:rRNA from 1 species
AUGGCCGCGACGGCAUGCGCCCACGGCUACGACGGCGGCCUGGUGCCGCCGGCGCCGGCGCAGGCGAUGGGCCCGUUCGACGACGGUGGCCACCACCGUCCCGUCAUCCACGACCACUAUCCCAUCAUCCACGGCCUCGUCAUGCCUCCACCUCCUCCUCCGCCACCGCCGCCGCCUCCUUCUUUCCAUCUCCAUUCGGGCCACGCCAGCUCCAAGGCGGCAGCGUCUCGCCACCCCGGCCUCUGCACCGAGGGCCUCGGCUCGGAGAGCUCCGAGAGCUCGGGCGACCUCGACCUCGGCGACAUCGUGGCCGACGACGACAUUCAAGACUGCAAGCAGGGCGACCAGGAGCUAGGGGCGCUGAUGCCGGCGAGGAAAAGGGUGUUCCCGCCGCCGAUAUCGGUGAUCGGCGCGGCCGGGAAGCCGUGGCAGUACCUGAGGGCGCAGCGCGGGGGCGGCCGGCUGGUGCUGCGGGAGGUGAGGAUACCGUCGCGGGAGCUGCUCCACGCCUGCCGGGAGGACGGCCGCCUCAAGCUCCACUUUGCACACCCGGAGCCGGAGCCGGAGCCGGAGCCAGAGGAAGAAAACAACACCAUCUAG